GAUGGAGGAGAUGAUGUGUUUCUCUGUGAAUAUGAAUAUGAAGUGCAGUGGCAUAGCUUCAAGCGCAUUGCAGAGAUU